GAGCACCAGACUCUUAAUCUGGCUGUCGCGGGGUCGAGCCCCGCAUCGGGCU
rnacentral:tRNA from 1 species